rnacentral:lncRNA from 1 species
AAUAUAGCAUAUGUAAACCGGAUUAAGCAAACAAAAUACAUAUAUUGAUAUUGAAAGGAAUAAAAAACCUGAAUAAGAAUUACUAAAAUCUCAAGGUAUCGGAACCCGAAUACAACAAAUUGUUUGGAUCGAUUAGUUCUUCAUGAGAAUCCUUGCCAAAGCUUUCAAGUAUUUCGUGAAUAGUCAAUUAUCCUCAUGUUAUGCAGCUACUAGGUAUAUGGAAAACAAGGAAUUUCGUUUACAACCCAACUGGAUCGAAAACAUAACUCAAGCCAAAAACUAAUGACCCAAAACUUAAAUAAAACUAAUACUGCAACUUCAACGAAUUUUCUGGCCCUGUUACA